rnacentral:rRNA from 1 species
GUGGGGAAUAUUGCGCAAUGGACGAAAGUCUGACGCAGCGACGCCGCGUGUGGGAGGAAGCUCUUCGGGGUGUAAACCACUGUCAGGAGGGAAGAAACUCGCCGUACCGAAUAGGGCCGGCGAUUGACGGUACCUCCAAAGGAAGCGCCGGCUAACUCCGUGCCAGCAGCCGCGGUAAGACGGAGGGCGCAAGCGUUGUUCGGAAUUACUGGGCGUAAAGCGCGGGCAGGCGGUCUGUUAAGUCGUUUGUGAAAAUCCGGGGCUCAACCCCGGAAAUGCGUACGAUACUGGCAGGCUGGAGACUGGUAGAGGCUAGCGGAAUUCCUGGUGUAGCGGUGGAAUGCGUAGAUAUCAGGAAGAACACCUGUGGCGAAGGCGGCUAGCUGGGCCAGUUCUGACGCUCAUCCGCGAAAGCGUGGGGAGCAAACAGGAUUAGAAACCCUAGUAGUCC